rnacentral:rRNA from 1 species
UACGAAGGGGGGCUAGCGUUGCUCGGAAUCACUGGGCGUAAAGGGUGCGUAGGCGGGUAUAUAAGUCAGUGGUGAAAGCUCCGGGCUUAACUUGGAACUGCCAUUGAUACUGUAUAUCUUGAAUGUCGUUGAGGUUAGCGGAAUGUUGCAUGUAGCGGUGAAAUGCUUAGAUAUGUUACAGAACACCAAUUGUGAAGACAGCUAACUAAGCGAUGAUUGACGCUGAGGCACGAAAGCGUGGGGAGCAAACAGG